AAUCACUGUGGCUAGGUUAUGAGGCUAAACAUGAGUGCUGUGAUUUUGUGUGACCAGGCCUGAAUUACUGCAGGUGGAGGAGAGCAGUUCUUAGAAAGAGAAAAUCAAAAGUUGGAAACCAAGGAAAGGUGUAAGAAUCCAUUUGUUAUUUGGAUGGUUGAUGGAGACAUAUGAACCUGAAAGAAAAUGGAGUGGACAGGGCUCUGGUGGCCACUGAGGCUCUUUGGGUUUAUCAAGAGGCUUGGUGAUUCCUGGAGCAUUGUGAGUAGCACCUUUGAGGCCUCGGAGAGUGGUUGUGCCAGUUCAUCCAUGAUGCAAUUCUAUGGAGGUCAAGUGAAACUAGAUCACAUAAAUGUUUGUACCUUAAUGCCUAAAGUUUAAAAACAGCGAAUUGUGUGAAGACAGCAGCAAAGGAAAGGCAAAACAUAUAACACAUGUGAAUGGACACAUCAGCUAUGUAUACAACUUGGAUAAUCAGGCCUUAACUUGCGCAGCAGAAUUCAUCAUCUUUGUGCCCCAUUAUGUUCCCAUGAUAACAGAGCCAUGAUAGGGAGACAUUCUUCUCAAAGAGGUUUAUAAAGUGUGUUAUUCAUUGAAUUAUUAAUGAAAACUAGAUCAUAUAAUGCUGAACUCUGCAAGGUGACAAUGGAACAAGUGUAAUCUUUUUGCAUGGAAAAUAAAAGAAGAAUUGAAUUUUAAAAAUGUUUUUCUAGUACAGAAGUGCUACUGAGUAGCUGAUGCAAUACACCAUCUUCAGUGCCUUUUAUUAAAGGACUUUGUGUAUUUUACACUAUCUGGACCCAUUACCAACCUAAUACAAGAAUCAUAUUUAUGCUCACACAUCCAUGUGAAGUAUACCUUCCUAAGGCUUGCAGCUUUUAAGCAGUUGCACUUACAAGCUUUGUGAUUUACCUUCUUUACCAAUGUAAUGUUUGAUAAGCUUGCUUCAAUGUCUGAGUUUCUCUCAUGACAUGGUUUUGGUUACUUGUGUCUGUAAUGCAGGUAGGAGAAUGAUUCAAGGAAGAAUAACAUUUCCUAUUGCAAUGCUGAAAUAAUUUAACUAUACUGAAUCAAAGACCUUAAUAAGCACUCUGUAAUGAAAUGGGCAUCUUUCAUCUCUGCUGAAGGCAUCUGGCAUUUUCCAGGCUUGACAUAAACUCUCUCUGAAGAAAAAUUUUGGCUUUUACCCCUUCUUCAGCCUACUGUGCCCGAAGUGAGCCUAUAUAGAUUCCUUCUACAGCUGUUUCACGAAAGUCCACUUUCUGGUUAUCAGAAACACUGUUUAAAUGCAGAAAACCUAGCCAAACUACAAUAUCAACAAGUUUUCUUUUUAUCUUUUGCAUCUUUUUUUUUCUUUUUUUUUUUCUUUUAUUUUUUCUGCAAUUGGCUGCACAAAGAACACCAAGACUUCUACUUGCUAAAUAAGUAUUUUUAGCCUGACGGUUGUGCAAAAUCCUUCAAAAAUGGUUUCUAAAGCAACCAAAAUCACACACAGUUGAGUUCAGUUAAAAAAAAAAA